rnacentral:sRNA from 1 species
GCCCGCGGCGGCGACAGCGGCGGCGGCGGCCGGGAAUGCAUCACUGUAAGCGAUACCGCUCCCCUGAACCAGACCCGUACCUGAGCUACCGAUGGAAAAGGAGGAGGUCCUACAGUCGGGAACAUGAAGGGAGACUGCGAUACCCAUCCCGAAGGGAGCCUCCCCCACGGAGAUCUCGGUCCAGAAGCCAUGACCGCCUGCCCUACCAGAGGAGGUACCGGGAGCGCCGUGACAGCGAUACAUACCGGUGUGAAGAGCGGAGCCCAUCCUUUGGAGAGGACUACUAUGGAUCUUCACGUUCUCGUCAUCGUCGGCGAUCGCGGGAGAGGGGGCCAUACCGGACCCGCAAGCACGCCCACCACUGCCACAAACGCCGCACCAGGUCUUGUAGCAGCGCCUCCUCGGUGAGUGGUAGCCAGAGUGUGCUGGCUGGGGCUUAAAGGCCUCAUCUCUUCCUAGCCUUCUCUCAGGCUGGCUGGUCCGGGUGAGUACUGCCAGCCCUAUGCACGUGCACUGGUGUGCGUGCAUGUGUGUGUGUAUGUGUUGUCUGGUCCAGGUGUAGGGCUGAUCACAGGGCCCUGGCCCCUGUGUCUUCUGGCCCCUUCCAGUGGCAACUGUAGGAACUCUGGCUCCGAUGCUGGCUGGUCCCUGGCCUGUCUGUGUCUACACAGUGCUCCAGACACAGGCCACGUGAUGCAAGUGGCUGGGGACACUUCUUAGGAAUCCUAGUAGAGUGGCUGGUAUGGUGGUCUGCAGCUAUAUGGCUUGGUCCUUCCCACCCAGAGACUGCCUCCUCGUGUAACAGUGCUCUGAUGUGGACUGCACCCACCUCUGCGUCUCAUCUGCACACCCCCUCCCAAAGGCCCCCAGUCUGGAGUGCCUCACAGGACAGGAGGAUUUGC